UUAAAUGGCCGCGGUACCCUAACCGUGCAAAGGUAGCGUAAUCACUUGUCUACUAAAUAUAGACCUGUAUGAACGGCACCACGAGGGCCACACUGUCUCCCCCCUUUAAUCAGUAAAACUGAUCCCCCCGUGAAGAAGCGGGGAUUCAAAUACAAGACGAGAAGACCCCAUGGAGCUUUAAACCAAGAGUCAACUGCUAAAUUUUAUAUCAUAAAUACCUCAAUCAUGACUCAAAGUUUUCGGUUGGGGCGACCGCGGAGCAUAACAAAACCUCCACGAUGAAAGAACAUAAAAUUCUUACCCAAGAACCACACCACAAAGGACCACAAAUGUGACAUCCAUUGACCCAAAAAGCUUGAUCAACGAACCUAGUUACCCUGGGGAUAACAGCGCAAUCCAUUUCAAGAGCCCAUAUCGACAAAUGGGUUUACGACCUCGA
rnacentral:rRNA from 1 species